CCUACGGGAGGCAGCAGUGGGGAAUAUUGCGCAAUGGGCGAAAGCCUGACGCAGCAACGCCGCGUGGGGGAUGAAGGCCUUCGGGUUGUAAACCUCUUUCAGCAGGGAAGAAGCGAAAGUGACGGUACCUGCAGAAGAAGCACCGGCUAACUACGUGCCAGCAGCCGCGGUAAUACGUAGGGUGCAAGCGUUGUCCGGAUUUAUUGGGCGUAAAGAGCUCGUAGGCGGUUAGUCACGUCGGAUGUGAAAUCCCGGAGCUUAACUCCGGGCCUGCAUUCGAUACGGGCUGACUCGAGUGUUGUAGGGGAGACUGGAACUCCUGGUGUAGCGGUGAAAUGCGCAGAUAUCAGGAAGAACACCGGUGGCGAAGGCGGGUCUCUGGGCAACUACUGACGCUGAGGAGCGAAAGCGUGGGGAGCAAACAGGAUUAGAUACCCUGGUAGUCCACGCCGUAAACGGUGGGCGCUAGGUGUGGGGAACAUUCCACGUUCUCUGCGCCGCAGCUAACGCAUUAAGCGCCCCGCCUGGGGAGUACGGCCGCAAGGCUAAACUCAAGGAAUUGACGG
rnacentral:rRNA from 1 species